AGAGUUUGAUCAUGGCUCAGAACGAACGCUGGCGGCGUGCCUGACACAUGCAAGUCGAACGCGAAAGGGGGCAACCCCCGGUAGCGUGGCAGACGGGUGAGUAACACGUGGGUAACCUACCCGGAGGUGGGGGAUAACCCUUCGAAAGGAGGGCUAAUACCGCAUGACAUCGUGAGGACCUCGGUCUUUGCGAUCAAAGCUGGCCUCUGUUUACAAGCUAGCGCCACCGGAGGGGCCCGCGCCCCAUUAGCUAGUUGGUGAGGUAACGGCUCACCAAGGCGACGAUGGGUAGCCGGCCUGAGAGGGCGACCGGCCACACUGGAACUGCGACACGGUCCAGACUCCUACGGGAGGCAGCAGUGAGGAAUCUUGCGCAAUGGGCGAAAGCCUGACGCAGCGACGCCGCGUGGAGGAUGAAGGUCUUCGGAUUGUAAACUCCUGUCGAGUGGGACGAAUGCCAUGAGGGUGAACAACCCUCGUGGUUGACGGUACCGCUGGAGGAAGCCCCGGCUAACUCCGUGCCAGCAGCCGCGGUAAUACGGAGGGGGCCAGCGUUGUUCGGAAUCAUUGGGCGUAAAGGGCGCGUAGGCGGCCGAUCAAGUCGGAGGUGAAAUCCCUCGGCUCAACUGAGGAACUGCCUCCGAUACUGUUCGGCUUGAGUCCUGGAGAGGGUAGUGGAAUUCCCAGUGUAGCGGUGAAAUGCGUAGAGACUGGGAAGAACACCAGUGGCGAAGGCGGCUACCUGGACAGGUACUGACGCUGAAGCGCGAAAGCUAGGGGAGCAAACAGGAUUAGAUACCCUGGUAGUCCUAGCUGUAACGAUGGGCACUUGGGUGUUGCGGGUAUCGACCCCUGCAGUGCCGAAGCUAACGCAUUAAGUGCCCCGCCUGGGGGAGUACGGUCGCAAGGCUGAAACUCAAUGAAUUGACGG
rnacentral:rRNA from 1 species